GUGUGUUGGUGAUGUGUGGUGUGUGGUGUGAACGUGUGCAAAAUGAAAAGUAAAAAGGCCAUGGGACUUUGGAAAGCGACGAUUUGGCCAAAUGAAAUUUUAAAAAGGGUUUUUAAAUAUGAAAAACGGAGUCGCCACUUGGUAUAGAUUUGGGGUGUACCAAGUCACCCAAAAAAAGUGUUUUUUAAAGACAAAGUAGUAAAACCCUUUUUAAAACGACUCCUAGUCCACGUAAGCCAAAGAAAAAGGUUCGGGGGUCACGUUUGACAAAGGGGAAGGCAAGGAUAGAAUCCAAGGCACCCCUUUGACCUAGCCAAGGCUAGUUGCGCGACUCAAACCAAUUUUUCCUAAUUUUUCUACCCAAGGUAUGUAUCGCGUAUUGGAUAUGUCUAUAUGAAUGCAAAAACCUAGACCUAGGGGGAUUGGGGGAAAUUUCUCUUCAAAGGUUGAGUGGUGCCAAUCACAUUAAUUGUGAAGCCCAAUAAUGAUCCUUUUGGAGAGGUCACACCUAAACCUAAAUGACGUGAAAAAUGAGUGGAAUGCAUGCCAUGUGAAAGUGUGAGUUUAUGUGAAGUGAAAAAAUGAUAAAAGUAAUAAGAUAAGAGUGAAGGUGUGCAAAUGUAGAUGAAAGUACUCGUGUGCGAGUGAAGAUAAAAGUGUUCGUGUGCAAGUGAAAGUGAUAAAAGGGUGCAUGUGUGCAAAUGAGACAAAAGUGAAAGUGUAAUGAUAGAGUGGAUUGAGAAUGCAUGAGCCUAGGGAAUUCAUGCAUAUUGGGUACGGGGAGACCUAAAUCGUGACUUGAUUUUCCCUUUGAUUAGAAGGCGAAACUAGCGUGCUAAGGCUAUCGAGUAGCCACACUCGCUCGUUUCCCUUAUC
rnacentral:lncRNA from 1 species